AACGAACGCUGGCGGCGUGCCUAACACAUGCAAGUCGAGCGCGAAAAGGGCAACCUGAGUAGAGCGGCGCACGGGUGCGUAACACGUGGGUAAUCUGCCUUAGAGUCGAGGAUAACCUUCCGAAAGGUUGGCUAAUACUCGGUAAGCUUACGGCGUCUUCGGACGCUGUGGGAAAAGUAGGCCUCUGUUUACAAGCUUACGCUCCAAGAUGAGCCCGCGGCCCAUCAGCUAGUUGGCGGGGUAACGGCCCACCAAGGCAACGACGGGUAGCUGGUCUGAGAGGACGAUCAGCCACACUGGAACUGAGACACGGUCCAGACUCCUACGGGAGGCAGCAGUGGGGAAUUUUCCACAAUGGGCGAAAGCCUGAUGGAGCAACGCCGCGUGUGUGAUGAAGGUUUUCGGAUCGUAAAGCACUUUCGACCGGGACGAAAAACCUCUGGCUAACAUCCAGGGGCCUGACGGUACCGGGAGAAGAAGCACCGGCUAACUCUGUGCCAGCAGCCGCCGUAAGAC
rnacentral:rRNA from 1 species